rnacentral:rRNA from 1 species
CCUACGGGUGGCAGCAGUGAGGAAUAUUGGUCAAUGGGCGAGAGCCUGAACCAGCCAAGUCGCGUGAGGGAAGACGGUCCUAUGGAUGGUAAACCUCUUUAGGCGGGGAGCAAUGCCGGGCACGCGUGCCCGGAGGGAGAGUACCCGCAGAAUAAGCAUCGGCUAACUCCGUGCCAGCAGACGCGGUAAUACGGAGGAUGAGAGCGUUAUCCGGAUUUAUUGGGGUAAAAGGGUGCGUAGGCGGAUUUGUAAGUCAGCGGUAAAAUGUCCGGGCUCAACCCGGGUCGGCCGUUGAAACUGGGGAUCUUGAGUGGGCGAGAAGUAAGCGGAAUGCGAGGUGUAGCGGUGAAAUGCAUAGAUAUCACGCAGAACUCCGAUUGCGAAGGCAGCAUACCGGCUCCCUACUGACGCUGAGGCACGAAAGCGUGGGGAUCGAACAGGAUUAGAUACCCCUGUAGUC